UGAAAGUGAGUGAUUUCCAUUGAGAAAACCCUGGAAACUCAAAUUGGAACCACCAUGGCACCAUCUUGGGUUAGGCUAAAGAAACAAGAACCAAAACAAACGAUUUCAUUGAUGCCUCCAAAUUUGGUACAUCUAAGAAAAUAGUUAAACUAUCAAUUGAAGAUGUUAUAAAUACAGGGAUCAUCAAAUUAAGAGACAGGGUUGGGCAGUCUUACCUAUUUCAUGCCACAGACAGACUACUCUGUUAUUUUUGUUGCCAGAGGCUCUUUGGAAUUGUCUUUUAAGGUGAAUUGUCACUUUAUAGACAUCAAAAUAGGACAAUGAGAGUUGCACGCCUUGGCUAUUUAUUGCUACAGAUAAUAUACAUUAUAAUUUCUAGUACUACUUGAGAACUUAAGGCUACGUGUUUUGGACUGAAACUUUGGCUAUAAUCGUCACUAAACAGGUAUUUUCGGUAUGAAUGGUCAGCCAAGUGAAGAUGUACAACUACGGAUAUCAUCAAGACAGAUAUUGACAGUCUUACGUUUCAUGCUACAAGCUGCUCCACUCAUUACAAGUGGAAAGAGGUGAACGAUUCUAGAGGAAGCUAAUUGCAUUGGACUUCACCUUCUAGGAUGGAUUUGAAGAGAUGAAUUUCUUUUAAAGAGGUUAUCCAUUAACUUCUGAUGACAAAUUUGUUUUAAAGAACUUUUCCAUUAACUUUGGGUGAAAAAUUUGUUUUAAGAGAUUUUCCAUUAACUUCUGAUGCCAAAUUUGUCGUUAAAUGAUACCCAUUUGUCCACCCAAAGACUGUAAAUUAAAAUGAUAAACAUUUGUCCACCCAAAGAUUGUAAAUGAGACAGUAGUUACUGAGAACUGUAUUGUGAAUGGACAUUGUGAUGCCAGAGAAGAUACGGAUGGCCAUGGUAGUAUUAUAGAUCUAUCUUCAGCCCUCAAUUCACUAUGAUAUGAAUUAGAUUUAGGCUUAUGAAGUCUCCCAGAAGAAAACCAACCCCGAAAACAUUGUCGUUUCAGUAAGCAGAUUUUAUGUCAGAGGACACCCAUAUACUAGACUCUGAGCCGCUCCUGUGUCCAGAAUUCUGUGGCGCCAAGAACGUCAUUUCCAGUGACUCCAAGAAGCGAGCUGAACGGAGCCCUUAGUUGCAGGAUCUCAUUUGGCGAAGGAUGUCAUAUCUAGGAUGUGACUAGCUGCAAAUCAUCUACAAGAUCGUAUUUUCAACAGAUAGAAUCGAGGACUGUACGAGACUAGAAUUCUCAAAUUCUGAUGAUAAAUGGAGCCAUAACUAACAAGUACAACAAUUGCCAGUUUCAAAUGUAAAUAGACAUUAACGUCUCCAUCUGAUGUACAACCUCACGAGAUGUUAUCAGCAGUCUGCCAGAAAACAAGAACUGAAUUUCAAGUUUGCAACCGAAAUCAAAGAGCUUUUACCGCAGAAUGAAAUCAGUGCUAUGGCUGUGGUACCAUGAGACAGCAAUAGUUGGAUACAAUCUUCAGGGCAAAAAUAAAACUAAAAAUAGCUCUUCGAUUAUUAUACAUUAAAGAAAAUUAAUAAUGGCAACGUGGCUGCCACUGUGACCGAGAGACCCUUUGAUUGCAUCUGUUUCUGUUUUGAAUUGAAAUCACGAAAAUAAUUAUC